UACGUAGGUGACAAGCGUUAUCCGGAAUUACUGGGCGUAAAGCGCACGCAGGCGGCUGAGUAAGUCUGACGUGAAAAUCUCCCGGCUUAACCGGGAGCGGUCGUUGGAAACUACUUGGCUUGAGGCGAUGAGAGGGGUGUGGAAUUCCCGGUGUAGUGGUGGAAUGCGUAGAUAUCAGGAGGAACACCGAUGGCGAAGGCAGAUCUCUGGGCCGUAACUGACGCUGAGGAGCGAAAGCGUGGGAAGCGAACAGG
rnacentral:rRNA from 1 species